ACUUGACUGCACCCAGUGACCUUCCGUCACUGAAUUAGAAAUUCAGGUAGUUCGGUACCAAAGUACAGUGAGUUGCUUGCUAGUCACAGGUUGCGAUCUCAGGUCAGAGGGCCAAACUUAUACCCAUAUCCACUCGGAACAUCUCUCGACAGUAGAGCAUUCCGGAAUUGGUCACGUUCAAUGAAAUGUACUCCUACACUUCACCUGUAUGGCAUACCAGUGUCUCCACACUCCUUGGUUAAGAG
rnacentral:lncRNA from 1 species